rnacentral:lncRNA from 1 species
UUUUUUUUAAUUUGGUCAUUGUUCUUUUGAUUUUUUUAUCCUUUUGUUAAAGUUGUUUUUCUUUUCGAUUUCACCUUUCAAUUGAAUAUUUUUUUUUGCUUUGUAAUUUUUUUUUUAUUUUUAUCCUUUCUCUUUGAAUUGCUAUUUUUGUUUUUGGUCCUUUUUUUAAUUGGUUUUUAUUUCUAUUUCAUCAUUCAACGUUUGAUUUGUUGGGGAUUGAGUUUCAUGUUUUUUCUAUGUAUGGUGCUUCUGG